UUCCAGCGUGGCAUGCUCGGCCGAACGCAGCAGGUCUUUCGCGCCCGCGAUGCCGUGCGGCGCAUGGCGGGCGAUGUCCCGCGCAUAGGCCAGGGCC
rnacentral:tRNA from 1 species